AUUGAACGCUGGCGGCAGGCUUAACACAUGCAAGUCGAGCGGUAACAGGGGGUGCUUGCACCCCGCUGACGAGCGGCGGACGGGUGAGUAAUGCAUAGGAAACUGCCCAGUAGUGGGGGAUAGCCCGGGGAAACCCGGAUUAAUACCGCAUACGCCCUUUGGGGGAAAGCAGGGGAUCUUCGGACCUUGCGCUAUUGGAUGUGCCUAUGUCGGAUUAGCUAGUUGGUGGGGUAAGAGCCUACCAAGGCGACGAUCCGUAGCUGGUCUGAGAGGAUGAUCAGCCACAUCGGGACUGAGACACGGCCCGAACUCCUACGGGAGGCAGCAGUGGGGAAUAUUGGACAAUGGGGGCAACCCUGAUCCAGCCAUGCCGCGUGUGUGAAGAAGGCUUUCGGGUUGUAAAGCACUUUCAGUGAGGAGGAAAACCCUGCGAUUAAUACUCGUAGAGCUUGACGUUACUCACAGAAGAAGCACCGGCUAACUCCGUGCCAGCAGCCGCGGUAAUACGGAGGGUGCAAGCGUUAAUCGGAAUUACUGGGCGUAAAGCGCGCGUAGGUGGUUUGGUAAGCGAGAUGUGAAAGCCCCGGGCUCAACCUGGGAACGGCAUUUCGAACUGUCAGGCUAGAGUAUGGUAGAGGAGUGUGGAAUUUCCUGUGUAGCGGUGAAAUGCGUAGAUAUAGGAAGGAACACCAGUGGCGAAGGCGGCACUCUGACCAAUACUGACACUG
rnacentral:rRNA from 1 species